GUCAGCUCGUGUCGUGAGAUGUUGGUUAAGUCCGCAACGAGCGCAACCCCUAUUGUUAGUUUGCCAUCAUUCAGUUGGGCACUCUAGCGAGACUGCCGGUAAUAAACCGGAGGAAGGUGGGGAUGACGUCAAAUCAUCAUGCCCCUUAUGACCUGGGCUACACACGUGCUACAAUGGUUGGUACAACGAGUUGCGAGUCGGUGACGGCGAGCUAAUCUCUUAAAGCCAAUCUCAGUUCGGAUUGUAGGCUGCAACUCGCCUACAUGAAGUCGGAAUCGCUAGUAAUCGCGGAUCAGCACGCCGCGGUGAAUACGUUCCCGGGCCUU
rnacentral:rRNA from 1 species